rnacentral:rRNA from 1 species
GACGAACGCUGGCGGCGUGCUUAACACAUGCAAGUCGAACGGAAAGGCCUCUUUCGGGGGGUACUCGAGUGGCGAACGGGUGAGUAACACGUGAGUAACCUGCCCUUGACUUUGGGAUAACUUCAGGAAACUGGGGCUAAUACCGGAUAGGAGCUCCUGCUGCAUGGUGGGGGUUGGAAAGUUUCGGCGGUUGGGGAUGGACUCGCGGCUUAUCAGCUUGUUGGUGGGGUAGUGGCUUACCAAGGCUUUGACGGGUAGCCGGCCUGAGAGGGUGACCGGCCACAUUGGGACUGAGAUACGGCCCAGACUCCUACGGGAGGCAGCAGUGGGGAAUAUUGCACAAGGGGUGGAAGCCUGAUGCAGCAACGCCGUGGGCGGGAGGACGGCCUUCGGGUUGGAAACCGCUUUCGCUCAUGACGAAGCUUUGUGUGACGGUAGUGGGUAAAGAAGCACCGGCUAACUACGUG